GAGCGCCUGGGGCCGACCGCCGAGUGUGAGACGCGUACCCGGAUUGGAUGCCCGAGCCCGCGGUGAAUGGGACUCCCUUACCCAUUGGUUCAUUUAACGGUACCACUCGGAGACAGGUGUAAUCUCUAAAGUCCCACACCAAGACAUUCGGUAUUGGAACUUCAUCAUAUGAAUUUCAGCCACUUGACGUUUCCACGUGUCACAGCUCUGACCUCAGCAACUGAAGUCAGAAAGAAGGCAAAGAUUGCAAGGCAGACAAAGCAAGGGUUGAGGCGGGUAGCAAACAGAAGCACAUUGUCAUGGCAAAUAUCUGCCUAGCGUGUAUGCAGAUCUAAGACCAUGGCCUAAAUCACACCAUACCAAGAAGAAACCACUGCCUGUGCACAUGUCAGUGUGCAGUGAUAAUCUUUCUAGAAAGUUCUGGCUUCCUGCCGCGGUCGCUUUACUCCAGGAAAUUGUGACGUCCCGAUUGUUCCUCCAAAGCUUUGAGAACAGCCAGCUCGGGGCCAGGUGGGGCAAGAGCCCAGAAACAGGAGAGCACCUUGCAUUCCCUGGACAAGCUGCGGAGACCUUCUAACAACAGUCCUUCCAAAGGCCGUGGUUCCUCCCUCCUCCCAGACUUGGAAUAAGGAAUACUGGCAUAAUUCUGUUUUUGUUUUUUGUUUGACUCCUUCAGUGCUACUACCUCUGAAAUAUCAAACAUAAAGCUUUUUCCAGAAGGAACUGGCAUUUGCCCUAAGCACAUGAUACUGAUACUGCCUAGGAGGUAAUGUGGAUCCACCCAGAGGAAUUCUGGACGUCUUCAUUUGGAUUCGAUGUUCUAAAGUAUAUCUAUUUACCUGAGCAGAGGGGAAGUCAAGACUUCUGUUAAGCACCACAACUCCAGUGACUCUGCCUGGGGACUGGACAAGAAGCUGAAGCACUCAUCCUUUAUAUUUGUUUACUCAAGUUUUUCAAUGAAAGGCUUUGGCCAUAAAUUCAAAAAACGAAUUCCUUUUAUCCUUCUGCCAUCAUUUUUGUCUAAAUAAAUCUGCGUCUUUAACACUCAA
rnacentral:lncRNA from 1 species